GAUGAACGCUGGCGGCGUGCCUAAUACAUGCAAGUCGAGCGAACAGACGAGGAGCUUGCUCCUCUGACGUUAGCGGCGGACGGGUGAGUAACACGUGGAUAACCUACCUAUAAGACUGGGAUAACUUCGGGAAACCGGAGCUAAUACCGGAUAAUAUAUUGAACCGCAUGGUUCAAUAGUGAAAGACGGUUUUGCUGUCACUUAUAGAUGGAUCCGCGCCGCAUUAGAUAGUUGGUAAGGUAACGGCUUACCAAGGCAACGAUGCGUAUCCGACAUGAGAGGGUGAUAGGCCACACUGGAACGGAGACACGGUCCAUACUCCUACGGGAGGCAGCAGUAGGGAAUCUGCCGCAAUGGGCGAAAGCCUGACGGAGCAACGCCGCGUGAGUGAUGAAGGUCUUCGGAUCGUAAAACUCUGUUAUUAGGGAAGAACAAAUGUGUAAGUAACUAUGCACGUCUUGACGGUACCUAAUCAGAAAGCCACGGCUAACUACGUG
rnacentral:rRNA from 1 species